ensembl:lncRNA
CUAGCCUGUCUGUUUUUGAAAAGGUGACUGCUGAUGACAGCUAAGAUAACAAGAGGGUGGUAUUUUUUUUUUUCAUGAGCACGCCUUCGGUUCUAUUAAUAAAAUCCUGAAUUUGACUAGUCCUUCUGAGAACUCCCGGCCUCUCUCACCCAUUCAAAACUGUAUUUUUAAGCUGUUGUAGGUGGAUUGUCGACAAUGGUUGUUAUGCAAACUCUGAGCACUGGCUUCAGGAGCUUCUUGGAAACCUGCAAUGAGUAAUCUUCAUGUUUCUGCCAGGUCUACAAAGAGGGAGGGUGCAGUUUUGCCACAGGUAGGUUGACAAAAUAAGUGUCAAUUCAUGACAAACCAGCUGCCAAAAAUACUCACAUCAAACCUUGGAAACAAUUAGAGGACAUGAUGAGAUGAGACCCUCACCAGUAAACUGGUAUUUGAAACUUUUGUUUUUUUCACUCAGGAAAAAAUGGUCUUAUUAUUUGUUCUCUGAUGUUGCUUGUAGGUUGGGGGUUUUUCUGUUGCCUUUUUUUUUAUUUUAUUUUAUUUUUUUCUUUUUUCUUUUUACCACUCAUAGCCAGUGGCUGUAUUUAAAAAAAAGGGUAUGUUUGUUUCUUUAGCUUUUGUGUGAAGUGGGCAUUAGUUACGUAAGAGUUUGAUGCAUAUCACAAGGUUGUACAGUGCAAGAUGGCCAUCAGUAAUGGGAGGAACUUUGGUCAGUACUAAUCCAGAUUGUGGGGGCUUGUGAACUAGGGGUUAAGGUAACGGAUUCCUGAUACCACUGCUGUCCCUGCUAUAACAAGGAGGCUCCAGCAUAUGGACCAGGUUUCUCCUCCAAUGCAGGUAAAGCAUGAAGAUGCAUCUCACAAGCCCCCUUUACUCUGGAAGCAGGAGGGCUGUUCAGAUUUUUUUCCUCCUCUCCUUUUCCAUAUGGGUAAGAAUAAAGUGAAGAAACAACAUUUUCAGAGAAGAAAGACUUGGAAAGAGUUUCUGUUUUCUGGGAGUCUGCUACAGCUGUUAAUUUGUGGAAAACCUCAGUGGAAAUUGUUGGCGGGUGAGUCCGAGACGGGCCGAGAUGUUGUUUGGGAAAAAGAAAAGACUCCCUCCCUUCCUCCCUGCCUUCUCCACAGAAAUGCACACAGACCAUAACUUCCAUCCAAAAAUGCAGGAAUGCUGAGAAAAAUUGGAGCUGGACUCGAACAUUGCGGGCUGGGCUCCCCCACUCCCCGGCCUCUCCAAAGCACGCACGCUCUUCUCUUCCUGUAGACUUUGUUCCUCUCCAGCAUUUGUCAUGCAUAGUUGGUGGCACAUCAAGAUUUUGAAUACUGUACUGAAUGCAACAACCUCUUUUUUUCUUGGAUGGACAUUUUGUUUGCGGGGAAUACAGCAUGGUGCUCAGCUGUCUGGACAGAAAUGAACAUUGAAUGAAAUGAAAUUUUCAGCUAUGUGACAGCUAUUAGAUCAGAGAUUAGUUUUCCAGUAGAAAUGUCCAAUUAUUUAAACCUCUCCGGUAGAUGAAAGAGCUUUUGACAAUCUGUUUUGCUGAAAAGCCCUGCAAUUCGUUUGGCAUAGAUUAGAUGACCUAUUAGAGAUGAGAAAAAGGGAAAAGGAUUUAUAAUUAAUGUCAGCCCAGCUGUUAACUUGGGGAGUAUUGCUGAGUUGUAGCACAAGACGUAUCUUUCAGCUAUUUCUGCAGUGACGAUUCAUGUGUAUAUUGCAACAUGUGUCAGCAGCCUUCUGUACAGCUGUGCUGGGUUGAAGGGACUAGAGUUCCCCAUUCCUAGGUAACGCAUUAGCAUGCACUGCUGCUUCUCCAAGGCCCUGCCUCCUUUUUGAAAGCAGGCUAUUAUGAAUGGGUAAGCCCCAUGUUUUUCCAGUGCUACCUUGUCACACAAUGACUGAUCCGCUCACCUCCGUAUCUCUGGGCUAUAUGACUUUGAGUGUAUCUUCCUUGCCAACUUGGCAAGGUAUCGUGUUUCUUUCCCUGAGGGUGACUUAGGGCAGAAUCCUUGAAUCCUUCAGAGUUUCCUGGAGCAUCUGGAAAGAAGAGGAAAACCAGAGAUGGGCCAGAAAGAGGCAGGCAGAGAAAGAUGAAAGAAUUUGGGGGUGGGAAGUACUUGCUUUUGGAAUAAUCUUCCUCCUAGAUGGCCUAAGGCAAAGUAAUUUACACUUUUUGGUAACGUGCAGGAUGGCCCAGCCCUUGCUCUUAUGAGUAAACAUUUCAAAGGUGCCUGCAGGGCCCUCUAUUUAUGUUUUUAUAAGCUACUUAGUCUCCUUUGAGUCUCGGGCUAUAUCCUCACUGCCAAUAGUGGAGUUAGCUCGAAGUGUAGUAGUGUCUUUUGGAGACACCUGAGCUAGACUGAAGCAGCUCAGCUGCGAGAAGUAGUUUACUCCACAGCAGCGCAUAUGUCAAAGCACUGUACCUGCCCGACGCAUUAUCUUGUCCUGUGCCAACUCUUGUUUCAAGUAAGGCUUUCACUGCAACCCUGCCUUCUCUGCAGCUGCCCACUGAAGCUCAAGGACAUAAAACAGUCACAGUAGGGUAUGGGGUUGGGAGCUGGAGUCACUUUGGUGCUUUCGAAAACGUUUUUUAUGGCUAAACCCACAUUCCCUGUUAGCACUGUUAAAUGCUUUCCUGUUUUCCUCUUCCCCUUGAACUCACACUGCUGUUCUAACCGAGAAUCGUGUUUUGUUUCUAAUGACAGAGCAAAGGUGCCAAAAUAUUUCAGUAGCUCCCCUAGGAACAUCUGCAACUUCUUUAGCUAUUUUCACAGCUGGCCAUAACUUUAUAUUAUUUCUGAAUGCUCAUAGCACCAAAUCUGGGAUCCUGGAGGAGAACAAUGGCUAAUUUCCUUGUAUUGGAAUUUAGAAUUUGCAAAACGAUGCACUAGCAACUUUGAAUAAAUGCUGAGAGACAGAGCUAUGAGGGAUUUUGUCAUUUGGAAGGCAAAGUUGCUAAACUCCAAACAGAGCUUAGACUGAUCUUCUGACACAGGGUAAAGCUGGGGUUGGGUGAGGUCAAAACCUGUAGAAAUUUCAACUGAUAUCACAACUACUGCUGAUAUUCAUGCUGCCCAUGUAGAAGAAGCUCCAUUGGAUCACUGCCUCCACUAUGGUUGCUGUCAUCUUUGAUGGAAAUAAGAAGAGUACAUUCUUACAGCUCUAAUGUGAGACUGAGUUCUUGGGACUGGAAUUAAGUCUGGGGGUUCGAACUUCCACUCAGUAAAAUUCCUGUGGACCUUUAAUUGCCGCUCUGAUUUAUUAGUUGUGCUUAGCUGGUCUAAAAGUGAAAACAAUCUCAAGGUAUUUAAUCAAUAUAUUGAUCUAUCGCUCAUAAUCUGUGCCCUCUUCACUCCCUAUACUGGUCUAGCAAAACAUGUUAAAAAUAUGCUGGAAAGGUGCCAGGUUAUUUAACCACUAAGAAAUGUAUUAGAACCAAAGAAGUUUGAGGCUUAU